GACGGAGGGUGCAAGCGUUAUUCGGAAUUAUUGGGCGUAAAGAGUGUGUAGGCGGCCGGUUAAGUCAGGCGUGAAAGCCCAGGGCUCAACCCUGGAAGUGCGUUUGAAACUGGCUGGCUUGAGUUCGGGAGAGGGAAGCGGAAUUCCGGGUGUAGAGGUGAAAUUCGUAGAGAUCCGGAGGAACAUCGGUGGCGAAGGCGGCUUCCUGGACCGAAACUGACGAUGAGACACGAAAGCGUGGGGAGCAAACAGG
rnacentral:rRNA from 1 species